rnacentral:misc_RNA from 1 species
GUGUGAAGGUGCUGAGCACGCUCCCAUAUGAAUCUGCAAGAGGAGGGCCGCAAAUCCUGCAGGCAGCAUGAACGAGAGACUUCAGUCAGCCAUGGCUGCUGUCAUCACUCAUCAGCUACUGUACAGCAUCCAGUAAAACACAGUGAAUUUUGCACUAAAAUGCAGGUUCCACUUCCAGACAGGAUUUUGAAUAGCUUUCUCUGACGGAUUGAAAUUGCAGUUCUCCAUACAGAAACUGAGGUGUACAAUAUAAAAAAAAAGAAACUGAGGUGUACAAUAGCCA